rnacentral:lncRNA from 1 species
CGCCCUCUUCGCUUCCGCGCCGCCCCCGCCAGGUGGAGGGGGUGGGGGCGGUCGGGACAGGCGCGAGUUUGGAGGAAGCCGCCGCGGAAGGGGUUUCCCGCCCGGGCUAGCGUAGUGCUGGCAUCCAGAGGCGAACAGCGGAGCUCCCGCCCGGCUGAGCGGGCCGCAGCUGCGGCAGGGGAGCCCAGGCUGGGCGGCCGGGAUCCCGGGGUUCGCGCGGGGAUGCGCGCCGAGGAGGCGAGAGCUGGCUGAGGAGGACGACGACGACGACGACGAGGAGGAGGGCGAAGCGGCGAGCGCCGGGCGCAGGCGGACGGGCUGCCUGCCGGCGAGGAAGGCUGUGUGUGGUCACGUUGUGCGCUACGUGUUGGGAGCGCGAGCUGCUAGCCGCAGCCGGCGACGUCAAAGCCGGGUGCGCGGCUCGGCUCCUUCCUCCGGCUUCUCUGCCUCUUCUGCUCCUCCUCCUCGCUGCCUUCCAGAGCGGGCCCCGGAGCUCAUCAGUAUGGACGGCGCCGAGAGGCUCCGCGCGGCCGGCGGCAUCCGGCCUCCAGCCUCCCCGGCCGAGCCCUUCCCGCUCCCCGGAGCUCCGCGGGGACCCGGGCCGCUUAUAUACCUGCUGUUGGCGUUUGCAAGCCGAGGGCCAGCUACCACCUAGACUUGCGGGUUGUCCAAGUAAGGCAUGGAUUACAGAAAUAGGUAAUGUUAUGCUCUUGUCUCUCUCUCAUUUUACUGGACCCUAAAUGUAUAUAUCUUAGGUACAUGGAAGUUGAAAUGUUUCAAAAGAGAAAUUAGCAAGUGAAUAGGUGGAGAUAUGAGAAUGGAAAUGAAUGCUGAGGGUUUGAGCUUUCUGAUAGAAUUCCGCUUUGGAAUGUAUGACCUAUAGCAUGAUGAGAAAACUUGAACAGCAGGACCUGAUGUUCCUGGUACAGUGUAACAGCCUUUCCAAGAGGAAGAAAUUCCUAGAAUUUCCAAAAGUAGGGUUAUACAAUAGGAAUAUAGAGUUGUGAGCAAAGCUGAAAGCUUUCUCCCUAAGGUCUGUAUUUAUUUGAGGAACAGAAUUAAAAUAAAGGAACCAUUUUCCCAUUAUCUUGGAGAGUGGGGGUGACUCUACUGCCUCAGGAGCACAGGAAUCUGGUAUAGCCUGGUGGUAGCAAUGUGCAGGUAGUUACUUAAGUGGGAAACUGAAGGAUUUGGAAACCUGGGCUAAACUGCAGGUAUUUGCAGAACAAAUGGGAGUGGCGCUAGCCUUGGUCCUGAUGGUUCUUGCAUGCAUUGCACAUAUCGUCAAAUUAUACAGAUUCUACAUGGAGAGAGCCUCUUGAAAGGAGGCUGAAAUUCUGAGUAAUGGAGGCACAAAUUAUAGGGACAGUGACUAAUCUGACUUAUUUUGUUCCCACAGAUGAAUGGAGCCUUCCAUUAAUGUUGAUGUCACUGAGAAAUACUCUCAAACCUACACGAUGAACAAGUUGACUACUUAGUGUCCUCAUUGGAAAGCUUUUUAAUUUAAGAGGUUUGAAGUUAAAACAUAAUUCUCAUACUAUGCAUUUCCUACUACAAUUUAUCAUUUAUCAAUAUUCAAUUACCACAUGACCUUUAAGGGAAUCCAUGCAUCAGAGCUAUACUUUAUCACUCAGAAACCUUAAAAUUAAUAACAAAACUUGGGUUUUGAAUUUAAUUAAAUUAUAUAAUUUGUGGGUUUUGAUUCUGCUUAGGGAAUAAUGUUUGAAACCCCGUGAAUAUGUAUGUAUGUAUGUAUGUAUGUAUGUAUGUAUGUAUGUAUUUGGGAUUGGGGACCAAACUAAGGAAAUCCAGACAAGCAUUCUAGUAUUAAGCUACCCCAUGGUUCUAUACUCCACAAUUCUAAAAAUUAAGAUUAUUCUAUUCUUAGCACUUUUACUGAGUUUCUGAAUGACUUACUUUUACUCAAAUAUUUUCCCCAGUUGUCCAAAAAAUUGUGAAAGAGAAAGGCAAUAAUUCUUGUAAAGGGCUGGGGAUGUAGCUCAGUGGCAUUGUGUCUGCCUGGCAAGCACAAGGUCCUGAGUUCAAUUCCCAGUACCGAAAAAAAAAAAAUCCUUUGGGCCGGGGAUUUAGCUCAGUGGUAUCGCAGCCUGCUGCGCAAGCACAAGGGCUGAAGUUCGAUCCCUGGUACCAAAAAAUAAAAAUAAUAAUAAUAAUAAUAAUAAUAAUAAUUCUUGUAAAGGUCAACUUCAAUGAUACAAAAAUUCUAUAGUAAAUCAAUCUUAUACAAAUACAAACUGCACAGUGUUGUUUGAUUUGCCAGAAUUUAUAGGAACUUUUAUCUGACACAUGGGUUUUUUUGUUUUGUUUUGUUUUUGGUACCAUGGAUCAUAUUUGGGACCUUGCACUUGCAAGGCAGAUGCCAAGACCAUUGGGCUAAAUCCUUGGCCCUGGCACAUGUGUUUUAUACUGGGGAUUGAACCCAGGGCUUUUUCACUGAGCUACAUCCUAGCUUUUAAAAUUUUAAUUUAUAUUCUAUUUUUCAUUAAGUAGCCAAAUUGCUUAGCUCAAACUUAUUCUCCUACCUCAAUGUCCCAGAGUGCUAGAGUUACAGGUGUGUACCACUAUGCUUGACUUGAGGUGGAUUUUUUUUUCAUGAAUUCAAUUUCUUCUCCUCGUAUGCAUUUUGUCUUUCUCAACUCUUCAUUUUUCAUAUAGUCUAAAUUUAAAUGCUGAAACAGUUCUCUUUUGCAUGAUCAUUUGCUGUCUUUAAAUCAAGAGCUCAAGUCAUCCUGAGUUUAUGAGCUUCUUGUGAUUGUCAAGUAUUUAGUUCCGACUACAAAACAUUAUCAGUUAAUUUCAGAAAGGAAAUUAAACAGGUCAGUUACCUUCCACCUCUCCUGCCAAUUCACAUAAACAUAAAAGUCAUCUUUUACAUUUUUUUAAUGAACACUAUUUAUCUAAAUAAAAUCAACUUGAAGCCAGUUUUCCCUCCUUUGCUUUGUUCUGUGUUGUAUGAAAUUGUGAAUCACCACCAGCAGUUAUUCCCAUAUUAAUCCAAACACCUUGUUGUAAACAGUUUUGUGAUGUUUAAUAUUGAAAAUAUUUUAAGUUCACUCAUUUAGAAGUAUGGCAAUCCCCUUCCAUCUGUGGUUUCACUUUCUAUGGUUUCAAUUACCUGUGGUUGACUGGAAAAAAAUAAAUGGAAAAUUCCAGAAACAAUAAAUGUCUUCUGCAAAAUGCUGUCCUGCUUUUCCCCACUGUACCUAAUCUAUAAAUUAUCUUUAUUAAAGAUAUGCAUAUAAAGGAAAAACAAAAUAUAUGUGGGCUAAAAUACUAUUCAUGAUUUCAAGCAUCUGGCCAUUGGUGGGCCUUAGAAUAUAUUUCUGUAGGAUAAAAGAGGUCUUCCCUAUUGGGUUGAUGGUGGUUCAUGAUGAAAUGUAAACAAAAGGACGGGAUCACAUUUAAAAAUUGAUGAGCACUAAUUAGUUAAUAGAUAUUCAUAGCUAGGACAGAUAUUACCUUUUAUAUUUUUAAUAACUUAAAAGGACAAUUCAUUCAAUCUUAUUUUGGGAAGACUUUCAUAAAGACUGAUUGUAGUGCUGUUAUUAAAAUUAUAUAACACAUUUGGAUCUGUCAUGGCUUAAAUUGUUGCAAUUAUUUUUUGACUAUAUGUAUAAGUUAUAGAAUAUCCUCAGAGCUUAGCUAAGGAAGUCAGAUUAUGCUCCACUUGUGUCUAUAGUCAAUAGAUGUGUGUGCAUAUUGGCAAAGCUUAUUUAUCAAAAGACUGUAAAAAUGGAUUUUCAGAUUUUU